GACGAACGCUGGCGGCGUGCUUAACACAUGCAAGUCGAACGGAAAGGCCCUGCUUUUGUGGGGUGCUCGAGUGGCGAACGGGUGAGUAACAAGUGAGUAACCUGCCCUUGCCUUUGGGAUAACUUCAGGAAACUGGGGCUAAUACCGGAUAGGAGCUCCCGCUGCAUGGCGGGGGUUGGAAAGUUUCGGCGGUUGGGGAUGGACUCGCGGCUUAUCAGCUUGUUGGUGGGGUAGUGGCUUACCAAGGCUUUGACGGGUAGCCGGCCUGAGAGGGUGACCGGCCACAUUGGGACUGAGAUACGGCCCAGACUCCUACGGGAGGCAGCAGUGGGGAAUAUUGCACAAUGGGCUGAAGCCUGAUGCAGCAACGCCGCGUGCGGGAUGACGGCCUUCGGGUUGUAAACCGCUUUCGCCUGUGACGAAGCGUGAGUGACGGUAAUGGGUAAAGAAGCACCGGCUAACUACGUG
rnacentral:rRNA from 1 species